GACGAACGCUGGCGGCGUGCUUAACACAUGCAAGUCGAACGGAAAGGCCCUGCUUUUGUGGGGUGCUCGAGUGGCGAACGGGUGAGUAACACGUGAGUAACCUGCCCUUGACUUUGGGAUAACUUCAGGAAACUGGGGCUAAUACCGGAUAGGAUCUCCUGCUGCAUGGUGGGGGUUGGAAAGUUUCGGCGGUUGGGGAUGGACUCGCGGCUUAUCAGCUUGUUGGUGGGGUAGUGGCUUACCAAGGCUUUGACGGGUAGCCGGCCUGAGAGGGUGACCGGGCAAAUUGGGACUGAGAUACGGCACAGAAUACUACGGGAGGCAGAAGGGGGGAAUAUUGCACAAUGGGAGGAAGCCUGAGGCAGCAACGCCGCGUGCGGGAUGACGGCCUUCGGGUUGUAAACAGAUUUCGCAUGUGACGAAGCGUGAGUGACGGUAAUGGGUAAAGAAGCACCGGCUAACUACGUG
rnacentral:rRNA from 1 species